rnacentral:rRNA from 1 species
GACGAACGCUGGCGGCGUGCCUAAUACAUGCAAGUAGGACGCAGUUGCGAACGGGUGAGUAACGCGUAGGUAACUGCCUGUUAGAGGGGGCUAACUAUUGGAAACGAUAGCUAAUACCGCAUACUAGUAGAUGGACCUGCGGUGUAUUAGCUAGUAGGUAGGGUAAUGGCCUCCCUAGGCAACGGUACAUAGCCGACCUUGAAGGGUGAUCGGCCCAACUGGGACUUGGACACGGGCCAGGCUCCUACUGGAGGCAACAGUAGGGAAACUUUGGCAAUGGGGGGAACCCUGACCGAGGAACUCCGGGUGGGAGAAAGAAGUCUUCGGAUCGUAAAGCUCUGUUGUUAAGGAAGCGUUACUUGACGAGAAAGGACCGGCUAACUACGUGCCAGCAGCCGCGGUAAUUC